GCUCAAUUAAUUAUUUACUAUAUAUAUUUGUCAUUCAUUUGCAUAUGCAUAACAUAAGCUCUCCACCUGAGCUCUACCUCUAAGAGGGAAUGAAGUACCUAUGCCCUCAUGAGAAUUCAUGUCUCCACAUGGGCUUAUGAAACACUCCCACUAAAAUUGAACCAUUUUUGCUUGUAACUUAUGAUGGGUGAGGAUCGAGAUGCCUUACUAGUCUAUGAUGGAUAAUGAUGUAAGAAACAAUUUAGGAACCUUUUAAAGUUAACAUUAAACGCUCAACCAUAGGUAAAGCCUUAUCCUUUCACUUUUUGUAGUUAACCCAAAUCUAAGGUCAUGUUGUUGUCUUACUUGGUAUAUGAUGCUUAUUCUAUAUUUUUUUAUAAUUGAAAUGACUAACUAAUUUCCUUGUUUUCUUUUAUUUCUUUUCGUCUUGUACAUAUUCAUAAACAUACUUACAGAUUGCAUAGUAUUCUUGCCCUAAAAGUCAUUUCAACAAAAGCUCUCAUGGACCCCAUAAAAUGUUAGGUUUAUGCCUCAUUUAUGUUUUUCAAAUGUGAUUUGCCUACUAAUGUGAAGCUAGAGUCAGAGAAGAAGCAGUAAGAAGAAAGAUAUUGUUUACCACCUGGUCAUAUCUCUACACUAUCAAAGGAAGUUUACUUGUUCCUCAAAUAGAAUGAUUUAAAAAGGCUAUCAAAUAUAUGAAACAGCAUGACCCCUUCAAGGUAGGAAGCUUUUUGUCAGAAGAUUUACAGUUUUUGGUAUCUCAUGUGCAUUUGCUAUAUGUGCAAUUAGAGACUUAAUGGGAAAUGUGAAAAAUUAUGUCUCUAGUUGGUAUUAUAAGGAGAUUUACUUGUUGGCUUAUGGUAAUGCCUUAUAGUCUAUGCCUGAGGGAAAAGAUUGGCUUAAUUAAUGACAAAAAAGUCAAUUAACCCACCAGAGAAUAGAAACAUGCCAAAAAGACCCAAAACUAACAAAAAAAAACUUGAAUGAACCCAAAAAAUAAAAUAGUAAAAUGAUAAUGACAAGCACUUUCUGUCAUAAAAGACAUAACAAAAAAGGCUGUCCUAUGAGGGGUAAUGAGGUAAUUUUUUAUUAUUUUAUUUUAUUAUCUAAUAAUUAUUUCAUUUAUAAUUUAUUUCACUAUUAGAUGUACUAACCAUAACCUAACCUUUAAUGCCAACCAUUAUCUCAAAGAUAAAUGAUUAAAGACAACAUUGAUAUUGGAGGACUUGGUGUAACAAAUGCAAAUGUAGCAUCAACUAAGGUUGCAAGAAGAAAGAAAUAAAGAUAGGAAUCUACCACUCAGAGUCAUGUGAACAUCCAUGUGGAAAAAUAAGUUGGAUUCAAACACUUGGAUGCCGUCCUGGGAAAAAAAGACAAGGAAGCAGCUGACAAAAGAAAGUUUGUCAGCAAAUGGCAUCCAACCACAAAAGGUACACUUAAAAGAAACUACAGGGUGCCUUCCAAAUCAGAAGGACGGCAACU